rnacentral:lncRNA from 10 species
AUGAACAGGACUUAUCAUCCUUUAUUCUACAGCUUUGCUUUUUACCAGAUUUGCAUAGUGUCAAGAUUAUUUUCCUCUAAUUGGAUGCACUAUCAAAUCCCGGACUUUGACUGGAUGGAGGGGAAGUGUACUGAAAGCCCUGAGUCAAAUGCUGAGAACCCAGUGGAAGACUCCAAGACCUUAGGGGAUUGUCCAGUCGCUUGUCCAACCCAUAGUCCCUGGGCCACAUGUAGCUCAGGACGGCACUGAAUGCGGCCCAAUACAAAUUCAUAAACUUUCUUAAAACAUUAUGGGUUUUUUUGUGACUUUUUUUUAGUAGCUCAUAAGCUAUGGUUAGUCGUAGUGUAUUUUAUGUGUGGCCUAAGACAAUUAUUCUUCUUCCAGUGUGGCACAGGGAAGCCAAGAGAUUGUACACCCGUGCAUUAGACAGAACAAGCAGCAGAAACGGAUUAGAUCAUUAUACAACAUAGGUAUGCAUCAAAACACAGCAUAAAAUUUUUUGUGUUCCAUAAAUAUAUACAAUUGCAAUGUGUCAAUUAAAAUGAAUAAAUACAAAUACAUAGGUGGCUGGAUGCUGUGACUUAUGCCUGUAAUCCUAGUACUUUGGGAGUCCGAGGCAGGCAGAUCACUUGAGCCCAGGAGUUCGAGAUCAGCCUGGGCAACAUGGCAAAACCCUGUUUCUACAAAAAAUAUAAAAAAUUAAUUGGGCAUGGUGGCACGUGCCUAUAGUCCCAGCUACCUCUGAGAUUGAGUUGGGAGAAUCACCUGAGCCCAGGAAGUCGAGGCUGCAGUGAGCCACGAUGGCGCCACUGAACUCCAGCUGGGGCAACAGAGUAAGACCCUGUCCAUCUCCCAGAUAGCUCCCCAAAAGUAGGCAAAUCAUUACUCUCAGAUUCAGAUGAUUUUCAAAUAAAUGUGUGUAACAGACCUUACUACCAUAAAUAGAAAGAUGGUUACACACAUAAACUCAACUGCCAUGGAGUCAUUAUCUUUAUUGUAUGCUGAUUUCUUAUAUAAUAGUGUAAUAUGAUACGAGGAAAUAACAAUGAUAGCUAAAAUGCAUUGAAUAUAGAUUAUAUACCAAGCAGUUUCAAGCACAACGUGUGAUUGAUCUCAAUUAAUACAACAAACCACAUGAGGAAAACAUAUUAUUCCUAUUUUACUGACACGAAAUUGAAGCUUAGGAAUGUUAAAUAACUUGCCCAUACUCAUGAAGUAGAAAGUGUUGAACUAGGACUGUCUAACUGUCAAGUCCAUGGCAUUCACUAAACUACAGUAUGAAGAAGCAACCUGGAAUGACAGCCAGGACACCAGGAAUGUAAACUCAGCCCUAACACUAAUAUUAAGGAUAUGAUCCUGAGAAGAGAUUAUUUUUCUUAUCUGGGCCUCAAAUUUCUCCGGUCUCUUCCAGCGUUAAUUUUUUGUUAUUCUUAUCCAGGAUCAAAAAGCUUAGAAUUGCUUGGAGACUAAUGACCUUCUGCAUCAACUUUGCUGGUGCUUAAGUGUUUAUCUCCUGAAAUAGAGGACAUUUCUUAAAAUUCUGAUUAAAAAUCUAAAAAAAUAACUGUGACAUUAAUAUCAAAAGUUUGAAGCAGGUGUCAAUCUGUGUUUGGGUAUUUUUCUAUUCAGAAUACCCUUAUGAUGUGCUUCC